rnacentral:misc_RNA from 1 species
AACGCACCUUGCGCCUCUUGGUAUUCCGAGGGGCACGCCUGUUUGAGUAUCGUGAAAUCCUCAACCCGAUUCCUUUUCGUCGAGAAAGGGGAACGAGGGCUUGGACUUUGGAGGUCUUGCCGGUCCCCCCCGAUCGGCUCCUCUCGAAUGCAUUAGUGGAGCUCGUAAGCUCUCUCCGCCCCUCGGUGUGAUAGUCAUCUAUGCCGAUGCGUGAGGGAGGGAAGGCGCCGCUUCUAACGAACCAUGCCUCGCCUUGUGCGAGAGCGUGGAUAUGGAACCCUUUGAUCUCAAAUCAGGCGGGACUACCCGCUGAACUUAA